ACAAAGGCCCUUUUCAGGGCCGCAUUUUAUCUGUAUUGAAAAACCU
rfam:Bombyx mori DNA, contig: Bm_scaf27_contig17783, strain: p50T/Dazao, build 2, whole genome shotgun sequence.